UACGUAGGGUGCGAGCGUUGUCCGGAUUUAUUGGGCGUAAAGAGCUCGUAGGCGGUUUGUCGCGUCGGCCGUGAAAUCUCCACGCUUAACGUGGAGCGUGCGGUCGAUACGGGCAGACUUGAGUUCGGUAGGGGAGACUGGAAUUCCUGGUGUAGCGGUGGAAUGCGCAGAUAUCAGGAGGAACACCGGUGGCGAAGGCGGAUCUCUGGGCCGUAACUGACGCUGAGGAGCGAAAGCAUGGGGAGCGAACAGG
rnacentral:rRNA from 1 species